rnacentral:rRNA from 1 species
ACAGCAGUAGCCGCGGGAAUACGUAGGUGGCAAGCGUUGUCCGGAAUUAUUGGGCGUAAAGGGCUCGCAGGCGGUUUCUUAAGUCUGAUGUGAAAGCCCCCGGCUCAACCGGAGAGGGUCAUUGGAAACUGGGAAAUUUGAGUGCAGAAGAGGAGAGUGGAAUUCCACGUGUAGCGGUGAAAUGCGUAGAGAUGUGGAGGAACACCAGUGGCGAAGGCGACUCUCUGGUCUGUAACCGACGCUGAGGAGCGAAAGCGUGGGGAGCGAACAGGAUUAGAUACCCCUGUAGUCCCUGUCUCUUAUAC